rnacentral:tRNA from 1 species
GAAUUUUUAGUAUAAUUUUUGGUAUAGCUGAUUGUUGAUUAGCAGGUUUUGAAAUUCU